rnacentral:rRNA from 1 species
UAACGGCGAGUGAAGCGGCAACAGCUCAAAUUUGAAAUCUGGCUCCUUCGGGGUCCGAGUUGUAAUUUGCAGAGGGUGCUUUGGCGUUGGCGGCGGUCUAAGUUCCUUGGAACAGGACAUCACAGAGGGUGAGAAUCCCGUACGUGGUCGCCUGCCUUCGCCGUGUAAAGCCCCUUCGACGAGUCGAGUUGUUUGGGAAUGCAGCUCUAAAUGGGAGGUAAAUUUCUUCUAAAGCUAAAUACCGGCCAGAGACCGAUAGCGCACAAGUAGAGUGAUCGAAAGAUGAAAAGCACUUUGGAAAGAGAGUCAAACAGCACGUGAAAUUGUUAUAAGGGAAGCGCUUGCAGCCAGACUUGCCUGUAGUUGCUCACCUGGGCUUUUGCCCGGGGCACUCUUCUGCAGGCAGGCCAGCAUCAGUUUGGGCGGUCGGAUAAAGGCCUCUGACACGUACUUCCUUUCGGGGUUGACAUAUAGGGGAGGCGUAAUGCGACCAGCCUGGACUGAGGUCCGCGCAUCUGCUAGGAUGCUGGCGUAAUGGCUGUAAGCGGCCCGUCUUGAAACACGGACCAAGGAGUCUAACAUCUAUGCGAGUGUUUGGGUGUCAAGCCCGAGCGCGUAAUGAAAGUGAACGGAGGUGGGAACCCCUCGGGGCGCACCAUCGACCGAUCCUGAUGUCUUCGGAUGGAUUUGAGUAAGAGCAUAGCUGUUGGGACCCGAAAGAUGGUGAACUAUGCUUGAAUAGGGUGAAGCCAGAGGAAACUCUGGUGGAGGCUCGCAGCGGUUCUGACGUGCAAAUCGAUCGUCAAA